rnacentral:rRNA from 1 species
UGGGGAAUUUUCCGCAAUGGGCGAAAGCCUGACGGAGCAAUGCCGCGUGGAGGUGGAAGGCCUACGGGUCGUCAACUUCUUUUCUCGGAGAAGAAACAAUGACGGUAUCUGAGGAAUAAGCAUCGGCUAACUCUGNGCCAG